rnacentral:lncRNA from 1 species
UGCAGGCAUACAUCUAACAUAUCCAUUCAGGCCAGUCAUUCAGAUUCCAAAGACUGUGACAUUUCUCUCCACAAUUUGCAAGCAAAGCAAUAAUGCUCUAAUUAUGUGUCUAUUAUCGUCAUCAUAAUGCACCCUCAUGGAUGGUGGCAGCAAGGCUGGGUUAAUAUAUUCAUUAGGAACAGGCACAAGCAACAUGACAUUAAUACCGCUAAUAAUACCUAAUUGAGUUUAAUUACAAUGUGAUGCCUAAUAUAUUGUGAUGAAUUUAUUCUCAAAGUAUUUACAUAUUUGUAGUUAAGUAAUUAGCAUUCUAC